rnacentral:rRNA from 1 species
GUUGGUAAACUGAGGUAAUUCUUGAGCUAAUACACGCUAUUUAUGCCACAUUCGUGGUGCGUUUAUUUGAUUAAACCAUUUUUUCGGUUGACUCAAAAUAUCCUCGCUGAUUUUGUUACUAAAACAUACCGUAUGUGUAUCUGGUUUAUCAACUUUCGAUGGUAGGGUAUUGGCCUACCAUGGUUGUGACGGAUAACGGAGAAUUAGGGUUCGACUCCGGAGAGGGAGCCUGAGAAACGGCUACCACAUCCAAGGAAGGCAGCAGGCGCGAAAAUUACCCAAUUUUAGUUCAAAGAGGUAGUGACGAAAAAUGACAACCAAAUAUUAUUAUUAAUAUUUGGAUUGAAAAUCUUCAAGUUUAAAUAACUUGUUGGUAAAGGAAAGGGCAAGUCUGGUGCCAGCAGCCGCGGUAAUACCAGCUUUCCAAGUGCAUAAAAUGAUUGUUGUGGUUAAAAAGCUCGUAGUUGGAUUAUAAAGAUUGUGUAAUGAGCAUCUUGGAUGUUUUUUCAUUACCAUCUUAUUAUUUUUAAUAUAUUAGUAAUAAUAUAUUAACUGUUACUUUGAAUAAAUCAGAGGGUUUAAACCAGGCAUUAUAUGCUUGUAUGGUCUAGCAUGGAAUAACACUAUAGGAAAAGUUAGUGUGGUUUCACUAAUCUUUUUCAUGAUUAAUAGGAACAAACGGGGGCAUUCGUAUCGCUACGUUAGAGGUGAAAUUCUUGGACCGUAGCGAGACGUCCUACUGCGAAAGCAUUUGCCAAGAAUGUUUUCAUUAAUCAAGAACGAAAGUUAGAGGUUCGAAGGCGAUCAGAUACCGCCCUAGUUCUAACCGUAAACUAUGCCUACUAGGUGUAUGAAUUAUUAGUUAUAAUAAUUUAUGCACCUUCUCGGAAACGAAAGUCUUUCGGUUCCGGGGGAAGUAUGGUUGCAAAGCUGAAACUUAAAGGAAUUGACGGAAGGGCACCACCAGGAGUGGAGCCUGCGGCUUAAUUUGACUCAACACGGGAAAACUCACCCGGGCCGGACACUAUAAGGAUUGACAGAUUGAUAGCUCUUUCAUGAUUUAGUGGUUGGUGGUGCAUGGCCGUUCUUAGUUCGUGGAUAUGAUUUGUCUGGUUGAUUCCGAUAACGAGCGAGACUUUUAUGUUAUAUUAAAUAAUAUUAUUUUAUAAUAAUAUUUAUUUUAAUAACAGAUUAAUAGUGUUUAACUAUUUGAGAGAGAGCGAUAACAGGUCUGUGA